AUGAUCUUCAGUGUUCUGGUCCGUGCCGUCUCCUUCUUCCUCGACGUGCUGGUCCAUGCCGUGGUCGUCCUCGCCGUGCUGGUCCAUGUCGUGGCCGUCCUGGCCGUGCUGGUCCGUACCCUGGCCAUCUUCCUCGCCGUUCUGGUCCGUGCCGUGGCCUUCUUCCUCGACGUGCUGGUCCAUGUCGUGGCCGCCGUACGCGCCGCCAUCGUGAGAACGGAAGGCGCCGCCGUCGUGGGCACCGUACGCGCCACCGUCGUGGGCACCGUAUGCGCCGCUGUCGUGUGCACAGUACGCGCCGCCGUCGUGGGCACCGUACGCGCCGCCGUCGUGUGCACAGUACGCGCCGCCGUCCUCGUGCCUUGUGAACCAACGACUGCCCCGCCAGCAGGACAUACUACCACUGGAGGAGCUCGCCACCGACGGCAACCGACCAGCAAGACCGAGACGAAGAUGGCGUUCAGCGCCGGACGAGCUACCUAUGUCGCGAACGGCAGCGUGUCCUCCCCCGAGGAGCGCGGGGCUGUGCUCGCAGCCUUGUCCACGGCCAGGCGAUGA
rnacentral:rRNA from 1 species